rnacentral:rRNA from 1 species
CCUACGGGUGGCAGCAGUGGGGAAUAUUGGACAAUGGAGGGAACCCUGAUCCAGCCAUGCCGCGUGUGUGAAGAAGGCCCUCGGGUUGUAAAGCACUUUCAGUGAGGAAGAACGCCUGGUGGUUAAUACCCAUCAGGAAAGACAUCACUCACAGAAGAAGCACCGGCUAACUCCGUGCCAGCAGCCGCGGUAAUACGGAGGGUGCGAGCGUUAAUCGGAAUUACUGGGCGUAAAGCGCGCGUAGGUGGCUUGAUAAGCCGGUUGUGAAAGCCCCGGGCUCAACCUGGGAACGGCAUCCGGAACUGUCAAGCUAGAGUGCAGGAGAGGAAGGUAGAAUUCCCGGUGUAGCGGUGAAAUGCGUAGAGAUCGGGAGGAAUACCAGUGGCGAAGGCGGCCUUCUGGACUGACACUGACACUGAGGUGCGAAAGCGUGGGUAGCAAACAGGAUUAGAUACCCGGGUAGUC